GAUGAAGAACGUGGCGAAAUGCGAAAAGUAGUGUGAAUUGCAGAAUUCAGUGAAUCAUCGAAUCUUUGAACGCACAUUGCGCCCCUUGGUAUUCCAUGGGGCAUGCCUGUUCGAGCGUCAUUUUGUACCCUCAAGCACUGCUUGGUGUUGGGCGUUUGUCCUGCAGAGGACUCGCCUGAAAGCGAUUGGCGGCCAACGUAGUCGUGGCAGAGCGCAGCACAAUCUCGCGUCUCUCCCCUCUGCGUCGGCGUCCAUGAAGCCCACAAUCUCAACGUUUGACCUCGGAUCAGGUAGGGAUACCCGCUGAACUUAAGCAUAUCAAUAAGCGGAGGA
rnacentral:misc_RNA from 1 species